AGAGUUUGAUUAUGGCUCAGGACGAACGCUGGCGGCGUGCCUAAUACAUGCAAGUAGAACGCUGAAGAGAGGAGCUUGCUCUUCUUGGAUGAGUUGCGAACGGGUGAGUAACGCGUAGGUAACCUGCCUUGUAGCGGGGGAUAACUAUUGGAAACGAUAGCUAAUACCGCAUAACAAUAGGUGACACAUGUCAUUUAUUUGAAAGGGGCAAUUGCUCCACUACAAGAUGGACCUGCGUUGUAUUAGCUAGUAGGUGAGGUAACGGCUCACCUAGGCGACGAUACAUAGCCGACCUGAGAGGGUGAUCGGCCACACUGGGACUGAGACACGGCCCAGACUCCUACGGGAGGCAGCAGUAGGGAAUCUUCGGCAAUGGGGGCAACCCUGACCGAGCAACGCCGCGUGAGUGAAGAAGGUUUUCGGAUCGUAAAGCUCUGUUGUAAGUCAAGAACGAGUGUGAGAGUGGAAAGUUCACACUGUGACGGUAGCUUACCAGAAAGGGACGGCUAACUACGUGCCAGCAGCCGCGGUAAUACGUAGGUCCCGAGCGUUGUCCGGAUUUAUUGGGCGUAAAGCGAGCGCAGGCGGUUUGAUAAGUCUGAAGUUAAAGGCUGUGGCUCAACCAUAGUUCGCUUUGGAAACUGUCAAACUUGAGUGCAGAAGGGGAGAGUGGAAUUCCAUGUGUAGCGGUGAAAUGCGUAGAUAUAUGGAGGAACACCGGUGGCGAAAGCGGCUCUCUGGUCUGUAACUGACGCUGAGGCUCGAAAGCGUGGGGAGCGAACAGGAUUAGAUACCCUGGUAGUCCACGCCGUAAACGAUGAGUGCUAGGUGUUGGAUCCUUUCCGGGAUUCAGUGCCGCAGCUAACGCAUUAAGCACUCCGCCUGGGGAGUACGACCGCAAGGUUGAAACUCAAAGGAAUUGACGGGGGCCCGCACAAGCGGUGGAGCAUGUGGUUUAAUUCGAAGCAACGCGAAGAACCUUACCAGGUCUUGACAUCCCGAUGCUAUUUCUAGAGAUAGAAAGUUACUUCGGUACAUCGGUGACAGGUGGUGCAUGGUUGUCGUCAGCUCGUGUCGUGAGAUGUUGGGUUAAGUCCCGCAACGAGCGCAACCCCUAUUGUUAGUUGCCAUCAUUCAGUUGGGCACUCUAGCGAGACUGCCGGUAAUAAACCGGAGGAAGGUGGGGAUGACGUCAAAUCAUCAUGCCCCUUAUGACCUGGGCUACACACGUGCUACAAUGGUUGGUACAACGAGUUGCGAGUCGGUGACGGCAAGCUAAUCUCUUAAAGCCAAUCUCAGUUCGGAUUGUAGGCUGCAACUCGCCUACAUGAAGUCGGAAUCGCUAGUAAUCGCGGAUCAGCACGCCGCGGUGAAUACGUUCCCGGGCCUUGUACACACCGCCCGUC
rnacentral:rRNA from 1 species